CUCAGGACGAACGCUGGCGGCGCGCCUAACACAUGCAAGUCGAACGGAGCUUGUUUGUCUGAUUCUUUCGGGAUGACGACUUAUAAGCUUAGUGGCGAACGGGUGAGUAACACGUGAGUAACCUGCCCCAGAGUGGGGGACAACAGUUGGAAACGACUGCUAAUACCGCAUAAGCCCACAGUACCGCAUGGUACAGAGGGAAAAGGAGCAAUUCGCUUUGGGAUGGACUCGCGUCCGAUUAGCUAGAUGGUGAGGUAACGGCCCACCAUGGCGACGAUCGGUAGCCGGACUGAGAGGUUGGUCGGCCACAUUGGGACUGAGACACGGCCCAGACUCCUACGGGAGGCAGCAGUGGGGAAUAUUGCACAAUGGGGGAAACCCUGAUGCAGCGACGCCGCGUGGAGGAAGAAGGCCUUCGGGUUGUAAACUCCUGUCGUAAGGGACGAUAGUGACGGUACCUUACAAGAAAGCCACGGCUAACUACGUGCCAGCAGCCGCGGUAAAACGUAGGUGGCAAGCGUUGUCCGGAAUUACUGGGUGUAAAGGGAGCGCAGGCGGGUCUGCAAGUUGGAAGUGAAACCCAUGGGCUCAACCCAUGAACUGCUUUCAAAACUGUGGAUCUUGAGUGGUGUAGAGGUAGGCGGAAUUCCCGGUGUAGCGGUGGAAUGCGUAGAUAUCGGGAGGAACACCAGUGGCGAAGGCGGCCUACUGGGCACUAACUGACGCUGAGGCUCGAAAGCAUGGGUAGCAAACAGGAUUAGAUACCCUGGUAGUCCAUGCCGUAAACGAUGAUUACUAGGUGUGGGAGGAUUGACCCCUUCCGUGCCGCAGUUAACACAAUAAGUAAUCCACCUGGGGAGUACGACCGCAAGGUUGAAACUCAAAGGAAUUGACGGGGGCCCGCACAAGCAGUGGAGUAUGUGGUUUAAUUCGACGCAACGCGAAGAACCUUACCAAGUCUUGACAUCCCUUGACGAACAUAGAAAUAUGUUUUCUCUUCGGAGCAAGGAGACAGGUGGUGCAUGGUUGUCGUCAGCUCGUGUCGUGAGAUGUUGGGUUAAGUCCCGCAACGAGCGCAACCCUUACUGUCGGUUACUACGCAAGAGGACUCUGGCAGGACUGCCGUUGACAAAACGGAGGAAGGUGGGGAUGACGUCAAAUCAUCAUGCCCUUUAUGACUUGGGCUACACACGUACUACAAUGGCGUUAAACAAAGAGAAGCAAGACCGCGAGGUGGAGCAAAACUCAGAAACAACGUCCCAGUUCGGACUGCAGGCUGCAACUCGCCUGCACGAAGUCGGAAUUGCUAGUAAUCGUGGAUCAGCAUGCCACGGUGAAUACGUUCCCGGGCCUUGUACACACCGCCCGUCACACCAUGAGAGCCGGGGGGACCCGAAGUCGGUAGUCUAACCGCAAGGAGGACGCCGCCGAAG
rnacentral:rRNA from 1 species